rnacentral:lncRNA from 1 species
CAAACAGAAAGAAAGGAAACAGGGCUUGGCUGUGCCAUACAGUGGGUGGUGUAAGAGACAUACCCAGUACCUUUCCAAUUAGCCCACCUGCUCUGAGCACCCAAGGCAUCAGGUCCUGGGGCCUGCUCCUUUCUGAAGCCAGGAGAAGCAUUUGUAGUGGUGAGACAACAGCCUGUUGCCCCUUCUCCAGGGACUCCUUUGUGCAAUGUCCUUUAACUUUCACGAAACGAGGGAGUUAUGUCAAGCCAGGGAGGCCACAGGACCAAGCCAGUUAUACAACCCCAACUUGGUACAUAACAAGAACAAAAAUAGACACCAGCUCUCCAGAGCUCACUGUGUGCCAGAUGCCUGCCAACUGCUUUAUCCUACUUAAUUCUCACAACAAACUGUAUGCUCAGUCCUGUGGCUAUCUCCAUUGACAAAUGGCAAACCCAAGGCACAGGCCAGGAUUCUCUCCAACAGCACUGGACCCAUGGGAGGAGUGAGGGGCCAUAUAGACUGGGUACCCCCAGCAUGUUCUUGAGUAGGAGCUUUGCAGGUGAGUGGUCAGAGGAGCCCCAAAGAACUCUAGGUAGCAAUUUGGCAGUGGUAAGGAGUCUGGAUCUCUGCCCUUUCAGCUCUUGCUAUUACACACAGCCAUGUCCACUCUGACACAUGGGGACAAGAACACACUCGUGUGAAUGUGAAUGUAGAAAAUGUUGUGGCAUGUAUGGAUGUGCACCUACAGACUUAUGCACAGGUGUGUACAUGUGUUCAUGUAAGUCUAUGUACACGUAGGGCUACUCUUACGGAAACUGACCCACAGAUACGCACACAUAUUUGUGCACAUGUCAUCAGAAGUGUGUCUAGCCAAGGUCUUUUUUAUUCUUGGCUCUUAGGGAAGGGAAGGGAAAGAGGAUGGGCAGGCAGGAUUCAGGGCCAGGCCAGUUGCAGCUGGUCACUAAGGACUGAACUUUGGAUGGAAUGACCCAGAUCACGCUGGUCCCAGAGCCCAGGCUCAUGUUUGUCCAGAGUUGCCUAUGGGGGACUGGUCUGGGAGCUGAGCUGCUGCCCUGCCCCCAAGGUUCCAACUCCCCACCUUUGACCCAGGCUUUAGAGCCAGCCAGGGUCCACGGCCUCCAUUUGCACAGAUGAAGAACAGUGCAGGGAAGAAAAUGAACUGGUUUUCCUGACCCCCCUAGCCAUAGCCCUGGUCUGUUCCCUCUCCAGGUGACAAGAGUCAGGGAAGCAGGGAGGUCAGUGCAGAAUUGGACCAAGCCUGGCUCUGAGGGGCCUUCAGUCUAGUGGAGGCCAUAGGCUUUUGCAGAGUGUGGUCAGUGUUUGGGCACAAGGCAGAGGCCUUGAAAGCCCAGAUGGGAUACUAACAGCCUAAAGGGAGUUGGGAUAAGGGAAAUCUUUCUGGAGGAGGUGAGGUCAGCAAUAACAUAAAAGACGAAGAAGAACUGGACUUGGACUGUAGAAGGCAUCUUACGAAGAGGAAGUAGGUUGUGCAAAAUGCUUGUUCUAGGAAAAGCAAGUGCUCUAGGAAGGGAAGUUCUUCCAUGAGAGGAGCUGGGGCGGAAGACAGGAGCCAGAAGCCAGAAGCCAGGCUGUAGUAGCCAAAACCCUGGGCCAUCCUGAAGGCACACAAACCCCACAGAAACUUCAAAUCAGGGCACUCGUGUGGCCAGACUAGGCUGAGAAGCUGUUUCUGGCUUAGGACAGAUCUGAGAUGGAAGAUAGGGCAGAUGACUCAAUGGGGGCUGACAGAGGUUUUACAGGCAAGAGAAAAUAGGGUAUUUUGUGAUUAUUGACAG